UACGUAGGGGGCAGGCGUUGUCCGGAUUUAUUGGGCGUAAAGAGCGUGUAGGCGGCCAGAUAGGUCCGUUGUGAAACUGGAGGCUUAACCUCCAGCUGUCGAUGGAAACCAUCUGGCUAGAGUCCGGAAGAGGAGAGUGGAAUUCCUGGUGUAGCGGUGAAAUGCGCAGAUAUCAGGAAGAACACCCGUGGCGAAGGCGGCUCUCUGGGACGGUACUGACGCUGAGACGCGAAAGCGUGGGGAGCGAACAGG
rnacentral:rRNA from 1 species